GCGGGCGUGGUGGAACUGGUAGACACGCAGGAUUUAGGUUCCUGUGCCGCAAGGCGUGUGGGUUCAAGUCCCUCCGCCCGCACCA
rnacentral:tRNA from 3 species